CCUACGGGUGGCUGCAGUGGGGAAUAUUGGACAAUGGGCGAAAGCCUGAUCCAGCCAUGCCGCGUGUGUGAAGAAGGCCUUCGGGUUGUAAAGCACUUUCAGUGGGGAAGAAAGCCUUGGGGCUAAUACCCUCGAGGAAGGACAUCACCCACAGAAGAAGCACCGGCUAACUCCGUGCCAGCAGCCGCGGUAAUAAGGAGGGUGCGAGCGUUAAUCGGAAUUACUGGGCGUAAAGCGCGCGUAGGCGGUCUGAUAAGCCGGUUGUGAAAGCCCCGGGCUCAACCUGGGAACGGCAUCCGGAACUGUCAGGCUAGAGUGCAGGAGAGGAAGGUAGAAUUCCCGGUGUAGCGGUGAAAUGCGUAGAGAUCGGGAGGAAUACCAGUGGCGAAGGCGGCCUUCUGGACUGACACUGACGCUGAGGUGCGAAAGCGUGGGUAGCAAACAGGAUUAGAUACCCCGGUAGUC
rnacentral:rRNA from 1 species